rnacentral:rRNA from 1 species
AUGCGCUCCGGGGUUCAAACUGGGCGCAGCAGCCUCAAUUACACUUCUCCCAACCGCACCCAUGUUAGCUGGCAAGUCAAUCAGAUCCUUCAAAUGCCCUUCAGCGACAACUCCAGCUUUCACCAGGAAAUCCUCAAGUGUCAUCUCCCCAAAGGUCGGCUGCCUCUCCCGCCUCCGCUGACUACCCUCCUCACCACUUCUCUUCGGCGAAUCUUGGAUGCCCUUCCACACCUCGUCCACCGUCUUCUUGCUCAGCUCCGGAGGCAUUGUGAUGCUCCCCUGGCGAUGCAGGCCCAGGGCCGGCUCAGACUGGCCGGCGACGCCACCGACAGGAUCCACGCCGUCCGGAAACACGCUCUUGAGCAGCUCGUCGAGGUUCAUACUAAGCAAAGGCUCUGUCAGCUGGCUCUGCACCUCAUCGAGGGUAAGGCUGUACAGGGAACCUUGCCUCGCCAGGCCCUGCGCCUGCCCAUGCUGCCCUGGGCCGGCAUAGCCGCCGCCACCGCCGCCUCCUGCCUGCGACUGCGACGCCAUUGCCUGAAUCAUGAACAAGCGCUCUCUUGGACUGGUCGCCCCUAUGGGGACAAACACCUAGGGAACAACGGUGUCCAAAGCAGCCCCCUUUCCUCCGGCAAAGACCCGGUCACAAGUCGCCGAGCCACAGAUCCACGAGACCGCGCACAGCACGCGCCGGCGAACGAACCUCCUAUGAGACAGUAG